rnacentral:rRNA from 1 species
AGGGUUUGAUCCUGGCUCAGAACGAACGCUGGCGGCAGGCUUAACACAUGCAAGUCGAGCGCCCUCUUCGGAGGGAGCGGCGGACGGGUUAGUAACGCGUGGGAACGUGCCCUUCGCUACGGAAUAGCCCAGGGAAACUUGGAUUAAUACCGUAUACGCCCUUUGGGGGAAAGAUUUAUCGGCGAGAGAUCGGCCCGCGUUGGAUUAGGUAGUUGGUGGGGUAAUGGCCUACCAAGCCGACGAUCCAUAGCUGGUUUGAGAGGAUGAUCAGCAACACUGGGACUGAGACACGGCCCAGACUCCUACGGGAGGCAGCAGUGGGGAAUCUUGGACAAUGGGGGCAACCCUGAUCCAGCCAUGCCGCGUGGACGAUGAAGGCCUUAGGGUUGUAAAGUCCUUUCGCUAGGGAAGAUAAUGACGGUACCUAGUAAAGAAGUCCCGGCUAACUCCGUGCCAGCAGCCGCGGUAAUACGGAGGGGACUAGCGUUGUUCGGAAUUACUGGGCGUAAAGCGCACGUAGGCGGAUUGAUCAGUCAGGGGUGAAAUCCCGGGGCUCAACCCCGGAACUGCCUUUGAUACUGUCAAUCUAGAGAUCGAGAGAGGUGAGUGGAAUUCCGAGUGUAGAGGUGAAAUUCGUAGAUAUUCGGAGGAACACCAGUGGCGAAGGCGGCUCACUGGCUCGAUACUGACGCUGAGGUGCGAAAGCGUGGGGA